rnacentral:rRNA from 1 species
CGAACGGAAAGGCCCUUCGGGGUACUCGAGUGGCGAACGGGUGAGUAACACGUGGGUGAUCUGCCCUGCACUUUGGGAUAAGCCUGGGAAACUGGGUCUAAUACCGGAUAGGACCACGGUCUGCAUGGAUUGUGGUGGAAAGCUUUUGCGGUGUGGGAUGGGCCCGCGGCCUAUCAGCUUGUUGGUGGGGUGAUGGCCUACCAAGGCGACGACGGGUAGCCGGCCUGAGAGGGUGUCCGGCCACACUGGGACUGAGAUACGGCCCAGACUCCUACGGGAGGCAGCAGUGGGGAAUAUUGCACAAUGGGCGCAAGCCUGAUGCAGCGACGCCGCGUGGGGGAUGACGGCCUUCGGGUUGUAAACCUCUUUCAGUAGGGACGAAGCGCGAGUGACGGUACCUACAGAAGAAGCACCGGCCAACUACGUGCCAGCAGCCGCGGUAAUACGUAGGGUGCGAGCGUUGUCCGGAAUUACUGGGCGUAAAGAGCUCGUAGGUGGUUUGUCGCGUUGUUCGUGAAAACUCACAGCUUAACUGUGGGCGUGCGGGCGAUACGGGCAGACUGGAGUACUGCAGGGGAGACUGGAAUUCCUGGUGUAGCGGUGGAAUGCGCAGAUAUCAGGAGGAACACCGGUGGCGAAGGCGGGUCUCUGGGCAGUAACUGACGCUGAGGAGCGAAAGCGU